rnacentral:rRNA from 1 species
UGGGGAAUUUUGGACAAUGGGCGAAAGCCUGAUCCAGCAAUGCCGCGUGUGUGAAGAAGGCCUUCGGGUUGUAAAGCACUUUUGUCCGGAAAGAAAUCCUUGGCUCUAAUACAGUCGGGGGAUGACGGUACCGGAAGAAUAAGCACCGGCUAACUACGUGCCAGCAGCCGCGGUAAUACGUAGGGUGCAAGCGUUAAUCGGAAUUACUGGGCGUAAAGCGUGCGCAGGCGGUUUGCUAAGACCGAUGUGAAAUCCCCGGGCUCAACCUGGGAACUGCAUUGGUGACUGGCAGGCUAGAGUAUGGCAGAGGGGGGUAGAAUUCCACGUGUAGCAGUGAAAUGCGUAGAGAUGUGGAGGAAUACCGAUGGCGAAGGCAGCCCCCUGGGCCAAUACUGACGCUCAUGCACGAAAGCGUGGGGAGCAAACAGGAUUAGAUACCCCUGGUAGUCCACGCCCUAAACGAUGUCAACUAGUUGUUGGGGGAUUCAUUUCCUUAGUAACGUAGCUAACGCGUGAAGUUGACCGCCUGGGGAGUACGGUCGCAAGAUUAAAACUUAAAUGAAUUGACGGGGUCAUAGCUGUUUCCU